AUUGAACGCUGGCGGCAUGCCUUACACAUGCAAGUCGAACGGUAACAGGUCUUCGGAUGCUGACGAGUGGCGAACGGGUGAGUAAUACAUCGGAACGUGCCCGAUCGUGGGGGAUAACGGAGCGAAAGCUUUGCUAAUACCGCAUACGAUCUACGGAUGAAAGCAGGGGACCGCAAGGCCUUGCGCGGACGGAGCGGCCGAUGGCAGAUUAGGUAGUUGGUGGGAUAAAAGCUUACCAAGCCGACGAUCUGUAGCUGGUCUGAGAGGACGACCAGCCACACUGGGACUGAGACACGGCCCAGACUCCUACGGGAGGCAGCAGUGGGGAAUUUUGGACAAUGGGCGAAAGCCUGAUCCAGCCAUGCCGCGUGCAGGAUGAAGGCCUUCGGGUUGUAAACUGCUUUUGUACGGAACGAAAAGCCUCUUUCUAAUAAAGAGAGGUCAUGACGGUACCGUAAGAAUAAGCACCGGCUAACUACGUGCCAGCCGCCGCGGUAAAAC
rnacentral:rRNA from 1 species